GGAAAAUACAUUAAAAUCUCUUGUCUUGAGAUGCACUGCUGUGUCUGCUGACUUCUGAAAGCAAUCAAAUUUGACUACAUUUUUUUGAGCUUCACAGAGGUGAAGUGCUAAGGGUAACUUGAGUCCAUACAUUAAUAUUGAGUAUAGAAGGGACAUCGGUGUCCAGGGACUACAGUUCCCAUCUGUCUCACAGCAGGCACCACCAGAACUGUUCUUGGCUGGACCCAGAGCUGUUUUCUCUGUCUGGUGAAAGUGACAUAUCUUUGCUUCCAGGGCAAAGAGAGGACCUGGAUUGUACCAGAAGAAACAUAGUGCUGUAGGUGUCUUCACAGAGGCUGAGAGAGGGUCCUGCCUCAAGAACCAAGCUUUCCUCCCAUUCCAUUGAUGCUCUCUUCAACCCUCUACUUAAGCAGAGAGUGGCCAGCUGGCACUGGUGACAGGACUGCUGCUCCUUGCAGAGCAGAGCAGUGCUGCAAUGGAUUUGCGGGGCUGCAGGGAAGGGGCCUCCCCUGUGCCAUAGUGGUGGUGGGCAGAUCACUUUCACUCCUUGCUACCAGCCUGAUGUAGGACCAGCCCAAAGUUUCUCCUUCAAGGGAAAGAUCCCUAUAAGUUAAGUUUUCUUUAAAAUGUAUGUUUUAACUAAACACAUGUGCUUUCAAUUUUUAUAAAAAUGUAUUGGCAUAUUUAUUCUAUUUUACUUGCUUCAUGGCUCUCUUCAAGGCAAAGCUUUCUUUUUCCAGCAGAAGAAAAGCUGCUCAUAUCAUCAUCUGCUUUAUGCUUGAGCCGUUUACUUUUUUUUUUUUUUUUUUAAUCUUGUCUCACUGUCUCUUUGAGGGUGUGUGCAAAUUUCAU
rnacentral:lncRNA from 1 species